CACAGUCUCAGUUCAGAUUGUAGGCUGAAACUCGCCUGUAUGAAGUCGGAAUUGCUAGUAAUCGCGGAUCAGCAUGCCGCGGUGAAUACGUUCCCGGGCCUUGUACACACCGCCCGUCACACCAUGAGAGUCGAUAACACCCGAAGCCUGUAGUCUAACAGCAAUGAGGACGCAGUCGAAGGUGGGAUUGAUAAUUAGGGUGAAGUCGUAACAAGGUAAC
rnacentral:rRNA from 1 species